AGCGAACGCUGGCUGCAGGCUUAACACAUGCAAGUCGAGCGGGCACUUUCGGGUGUCAGCGGCGGACGGGUGAGUAACGCGUGGGAACGUGCCCUCUGGUUCGGAAUAACUCAGGGAAACUUGAGCUAAUACCGGAUACGCCCUUUUGGGGAAAGGCUUGCUGCCGGAGGAUCGGCCCGCGUCUGAUUAGCUAGUUGGUGAGGUAACGGCUCACCAAGGCGACGAUCAGUAGCUGGUCUGAGAGGAUGAUCAGCCACACUGGGACUGAGACACGGCCCAGACUCCUACGGGAGGCAGCAGUGGGGAAUAUUGGACAAUGGGCGCAAGCCUGAUCCAGCCAUGCCGCGUGAGUGAUGAAGGCCUUAGGGUUGUAAAGCUCUUUUAUCCGGGACGAUAAUGACGGUACCGGAGGAAUAAGCCCCGGCUAACUUCGUG
rnacentral:rRNA from 1 species